AGAGUUUGAUCCUGGCUCAGGACGAACGCUGGCGGCGUGCUUAACACAUGCAAGUCGAACGAUGAAGCCCUUCGGGGUGGAUUAGUGGCGAACGGGUGAGUAACACGUGGGCAAUCUGCCCUUCACUCUGGGACAAGCCCUGGAAACGGGGUCUAAUACCGGAUAACACUCCUGCCUGCAUGGGCGGGGGUUAAAAGCUCCGGCGGUGAAGGAUGAGCCCGCGGCCUAUCAGCUUGUUGGUGGGGUAAUGGCCCACCAAGGCGACGACGGGUAGCCGGCCUGAGAGGGCGACCGGCCACACUGGGACUGAGACACGGCCCAGACUCCUACGGGAGGCAGCAGUGGGGAAUAUUGCACAAUGGGCGAAAGCCUGAUGCAGCGACGCCGCGUGAGGGAUGACGGCCUUCGGGUUGUAAACCUCUUUCAGCAGGGAAGAAGCGAAAGUGACGGUACCUGCAGAAGAAGCGCCGGCUAACUACGUGCCAGCAGCCGCGGUAAU
rnacentral:rRNA from 1 species